rnacentral:rRNA from 1 species
AGCGAACGCUGGCGGCAGGCCUAACACAUGCAAGUCGAACGAACCCUUCGGGGCGAGUGGCGGACGGGUGAGUAACACGUGGGAACGUGCCUUGAGGUACGGAAUAACUCAGGGAAACUGGUGCUAAUACCGAAGGUGCCCUUCGGGGGAAAGAUUUAUCGCCUUUAGAGCGGCCCGCGUCGGAUUAGCUAGUUGGUGAGGUAAAGGCUCACCAAGGCUACGAUCAGUAGCUGGUCUGAGAGGAUGACCAGCCACAUUGGGACUGAGACACGGCCCAGACUCCUACGGGAGGCAGCAGUGGGGAAUCUUGCGCAAUGGGCGAAAGCCUGACGCAGCCAUGCCGCGUGGAUGAUGAAGGUCUUAGGAUUGUAAAAUCCUUUCACCGGUGAAGAUGAUGACUGUAGCCGGAGAAGAAGCCCCGGCUAACUUCGUGCCAGCCGCCGCGGUAAGAC